CCUACGGGAGGCAGCAGCAGGGAAUAUUGUGCAAUGAGCGAAAGCUUGACACAGCGACACCGCGUGUGGGAUGACGGUUCUAGGAUUGUAAACCACUUUCAGGAGGGAAGAAAAUGACGGUACCUCCACAAGAAGACCCGGCCAACUAUGUGCCAGCAGCCGCGGUAAUACAUAGGGGUCAAGCGUUGUCCGGAUUUAUUGGGCGUAAAGAGCUCGUAGGCGGUUCAACAAGUCGGUCGUAAAAGUUUAGGGCUCAACCCUAAAAUGUCGAUCGAUACUGUUGUGACUAGGAUACGGUAGAGGUGAAUGGAAUUCCGAGUGUAGCGGUGAAAUGCGUAGAUAUUCGGAGGAACACCAAUUGCGAAGGCAGUUCACUGGACCGUGAUCGACGCUGAGGAGCGAAAGCUAGGGGAGCAAACAGGAUUAGAUACCCUGGUAGUCCUAGCUGUAAACGAUGGAUACUAGAUGUAGGAACUGGAUUGACGGUUUCUGUAUCGUAGCUAACGCGUUAAGUAUCCCGCCUGGGGAGUACGGUCGCAAGACUAAAACUCAAAGGAAUUGACGG
rnacentral:rRNA from 2 species